CAACAGGGAUUGCUCUAGUAACGGCGAGUGAAGCAGCAAUAGCUCAAAUUUGAAAUCUGGCGUCUUCGACGUCCGAGUUGUAAUUUGUAGAGGAUGCUUCUGAGUAACCACCGACCUAAGUUCCUUGGAACAGGACGUCAUAGAGGGUGAGAAUCCCGUAUGCGGUCGGAAAGGUGCUCUACACGUAGCUCCUUCGACGAGUCGAGUUGUUUGGGAAUGCAGCUCUAAAUGGGAGGUAAAUUUCUUCUAAAGCUAAAUAUUGGCCAGAGACCGAUAGCGCACAAGUAGAGUGAUCGAAAGAUGAAAAGCACUUUGGAAAGAGAGUUAAAAAGCACGUGAAAUUGUUAAAAGGGAAGGGAUUGCAACCAGACUUGCUCGCGGUGUUCCGCCGGUCUUCUGACCGGUCUACUCGCCGCGUUGCAGGCCAGCAUCGUCUGGUGCCGCUGGAUAAGACUUGAGGAAUGUAGCUCCCUCGGGAGUGUUAUAGCCUCUUGUGAUGCAGCGAGCGCCGGGCGAGGUCCGCGCUUCGGCUAGGAUGCUGGCGUAAUGGUCGUAAUCCGCCCGUCUUGAAACACGGACCAAGGAGUCUAACAUCUAUGCGAGUGUUCGGGUGUCAAACCCCUACGCGUAAUGAAAGUGAACGGAGGUGAGAACCGCAAGGUGCAUCAUCGACCGAUCCUGAUGUCUUCGGAUGGAUUUGAGUAAGAGCAUAGCUGUUGGGACCCGAAAGAUGGUGAACUAUGCCUGAAUAGGGUGAAGCCAGAGGAAACUCUGGUGGAGGCUCGCAGCGGUUCUGACGUGCAAAUCGAUCGUCAAAUUUGGGUAUAGGGGCGAAAGACUAAUCGAACCAUC
rnacentral:rRNA from 1 species